GAGAAGGAGACAAACGCAAGCAUCUCUCUCUCUGAUGACCAACACUUUUUCUUCUCACUGUUUGUUCUCUCUCUCUUUUUUUUUGUUUUCGGUCUCGAGAUAUGAAGUGCGGAAACUAAUGAAUGAAUGAAUGAAUGAAUGAAUGAAUGAGCACGAUUAGUUAGCUGUUGCAAGAAGAAGCAUUCUACCUUUCGGAUGAUUAGUCAAAUGGAACAUCGAUACAUCACAUGGGAUUCUUCUGGUCGUUCUCCACAGGGAGAGGGAGAGGNNNN
rnacentral:lncRNA from 1 species